GAAUCCGCUAAGGAGUGUGUAACAACUCACCUGCCGAAUGAAUUAGCCCUGAAAAUGGAUGGCGCUUAAGCGGCCAACCGACACCAUGCCGUGUGGACUGGCUUGCUAUCCGCAUGAGUAGGAGAGCGUGGCGGUCGUAUCGAAGCGUACGUGCAAACGUUCGUGGAACGGCCGCUAGUGCAGAUCUUGGUGUUAGUAGCAAAUAUUCAAGUGAGAACCUUGAAGGGCGAAGCGGGGAAGGGUUCCACGCGAACAUUGCUUGAGCGUGGGUGAGUCGUUCCUAAACCGAUUAGUAAUUGCUUUCUAUUUCGGUGAAAGGGAAGCAGGUUGAUAUUCCUGCACACGGAUGUGGAUCCGGUGACGGCCGUCUGGCACAGUGACUCCGGCGAUGGAGCUGGGCAGAGAUUUCUUUUCUGUUUAACCAAACCCCCCGUACUCUGUGGAAUCCGCUUGUCGGGAGAAACAGGUACGGCUGGGCAUAGCGCAGGGCCUUUCCCUGCGUCCAGCUUUCCGUCGUCGGGCCUUGAAAAACUGUGUGCUGGCACGAUAUGUGCAUUCUUUGUUGCAUAGCGUGUGUGAAAAAUUCCAUGCCGUGACGUACCCAUAACCGCAUCAGGUCCCCAAGGUGAACAGCCUCUGCUCAAUAUGGUAAAUGCAGGUAAGGGAAGUCGGCA
rnacentral:rRNA from 1 species